rnacentral:misc_RNA from 1 species
AUCUUCCAUCAAAAACCCAAAAGUUUUCUUAGCCAUAGUUUGAAAAUACCACUUAUGAAAAGGAGGAACCCUUUCCAAACACAAUGCAGCCAAAUUCUCAGUCUCAUGAUCUCCACCAUUAUAUGCAUAUAUAAGUUGACCCCCUUUUGAUACUGAACAAUAAUAAACUGAAUUUUGUACAGAACCCAUUUUCUAAUAUACUAACAUCAGCCAAAUUCACAGUGCAAAGUGUGAAAAAGUCAAAAAAAGCUCAGAUUUUUUUAGAGAGAUAUCUUCAUUCUUCAAGAACCUAAACAAUCAAGAUUGAGCAUAACAAG